rnacentral:rRNA from 1 species
UACGUAGGUGGCAAGCGUUGUCCGGAUUUAUUGGGUUUAAAGGGUGCGUAGGUGGUCAAUUAAGUCAGUGCUGAAAUAUCCCGGCUUAACCGGGGGGGUGGCAUUGAUACUGAUUGACUUGAGUGGAGUUGAGGUAGGCGGAAUUGACGGUGUAGCGGUGAAAUGCUUAGAUAUCGUCAAGAACACCGAUAGCGAAGGCAGCUUACCAAGCUCAAACUGACACUGAUGCACGAAAGUGUGGGGAUCAAACAGG